AGAGUUUGAUCCUGGCUCAGGACGAACGCUGGCGGCGUGCUUAACACAUGCAAGUCGAGCGGAAAGGCCCUUCGGGGUACUCGAGCGGCGAACGGGUGAGUAACACGUGAGCAACCUGCCCUUGGCUCUGGGAUAGCUCCGGGAAACCGGGAUUAAUACCGGAUGUGACCCUCCUCUGCAUGGUGGGGGGUGGAAAGUUUUUCGGCCAGGGAUGGGCUCGCGGCCUAUCAGCUUGUUGGUGGGGUAGUGGCCUACCAAGGCGACGACGGGUAACCGGCCUGAGAGGGCGACCGGCCACACUGGGACUGAGACACGGCCCAGACUCCUACGGGAGGCAGCAGUGGGGAAUAUUGCGCAAUGGGCGGAAGCCUGACGCAGCGACGCCGCGUGCGGGAUGAAGGCCUUCGGGUUGUAAACCGCUUUCAGCAGGGACGAAUCUGACGGUACCUGCAGAAGAAGCGCCGGCUAACUACGUGCCAGCAGCCGCGGUAAUACGUAGGGCGCGAGCGUUGUCCGGAAUUAUUGGGCGUAAAGAGCUCGUAGGCGGCCAGUUGCGUCCGCUGUGAAAUCCCGGGGCUCAACCCCGGGCGUGCAGUGGAUACGGGCUGGCUAGAGGCAGGCAGGGGAGAACGGAAUUCCUGGUGUAGCGGUGAAAUGCGCAGAUAUCAGGAGGAACACCGGUGGCGAAGGCGGUUCUCUGGGCCUGUUCUGACGCUGAGGAGCGAAAGGUGGGGAGCGAACAGGAUUAGAUACCCCCGUAGUCC
rnacentral:rRNA from 1 species